rnacentral:rRNA from 1 species
GACGAACGCUGGCGGCGUGCCUUAUACAUGCAAGUCGAGCGGAUGGAAGGAAGCUUGCUUCCUAAAGUCAGCGGCGGACGGGUGAGUAACACGUGGGCAACCUGCCCUUAAGAUCGGGAUAACUUCGGGAAACCGGAGCUAAUACCGGAUAUGAUUAUGUCUCACAUGAGACAUAAUGGAAAGACGGUUUCGGCUGUCACUUAGGGAUGGGCCCGCGGCGCAUUAGCUAUUUGGUGAGGUAACGGCGCACCAAGGCGACGAUGCGUAGCCGACCUGGGAGGGUGAUCGGCCACACUGGGACAGAGACCCGGACCAGACUCCUACGGGAUGCAGCAGUAGGGAAUCUUCCGCAAUGGACGAAAGUCUGACGGAGCAACGCCGCGUGAGUGAAGAAGGUUUUCGGAUCGUAAAACUCUGUUGUUAGGGAAGAACAGGUACCAUAGUAACUGAUGGUACCUUGACGGUACCUAACCAGAAAGCCACGGCUAACUACGUGCCAGCAGCCGCCGUAAUAC